rnacentral:rRNA from 1 species
GACGAACGCUGGCGGCGUGCCUAAUACAUGCAAGUCGAGCGAAGUUUUUCUGGUGCUUGCCCUAGAAAAACUUAGCGGCGAACGGGUGAGUAACACGUAAAGAACCUGCCUCAUAGACUGGGACAACUAUUGGAAACGAUAGCUAAUACCGGAUAACAGUAUUUCUCGCAUGAGAGAUAUUUAAAAGUUGGUUAUGCUAACACUAUGAGAUGGCUUUGCGGUGCAUUAGCUAGUUGGCGGGGUAAAGGCCCACCAAGGCGACGAUGCAUAGCCGACCUGAGAGGGUGAUCGGCCACACUGGGACUGAGACACGGCCCAGACUCCUACGGGAGGCAGCAGUAGGGAAUCUUCCGCAAUGGGCGAAAGCCUGACGGAGCAACGCCGCGUGAGUGAAGAAGGAUUUCGGUUCGUAAAGCUCUGUUGUUAGGGAAGAAUGGAUAUGUAGUAACUAUACAUGUAAGAGACGGUACCUAACCAGAAAGCCACGGCUAACUACGUG